UUUUUUUUUGCUUGUUU
rnacentral:sRNA from 1 species